rnacentral:rRNA from 1 species
UACGUAGGGGGCAAGCGUUGUCCGGAAUCAUUGGGCGUAAAGCGCGUGUAGGCGGCCAGAAAAGUCCGCUGUGAAAACUCGAGGCUCAACUUCGAGCUGUCGGUGGAAACUUUCUGGCUAGAGUCCGGAAGAGGAGAAUGGAAUUCCUGGUGUAGCGGUGAAAUGCGCAGAUAUCAGGAAGAACACCAGUGGCGAAGGCGGCUAUCUGGACGGUUUCUGACACUAAGACUCGAAAGCGUGGGGAGCAAACAGG